rnacentral:rRNA from 1 species
GAUGAACGCUGGCGGCGUGCCUAAUACAUGCAAGUCGAGCGAACAGACGAGGAGCUUGCUCCUCUGACGUUAGCGGCGGACGGGUGAGUAACACGUGGAUAACCUACCUAUAAGACUGGGAUAACUUCGGGAAACCGGAGCUAAUACCGGAUAAUAUAUUGAACCGCAUGGUUCAAUAGUGAAAGACGGUUUUGCUGUCACUUAUAGAUGGAUCCGCGCCGCAUUAGCUAGUUGGUAAGGUAACGGCUUACCAAGGCAACGAUGCGUAGCCGACCUGAGAGGGUGAUCGGCCACACCGGAACUGAGACACGGUCCAGACUCCUACGGGAGGCAGCAGUAGGGAAUCUUCCGCAAUGGGCGAAAGCUUGACGGAGCAACGCCGCGUGAGUGAUGAAGGACUUCGGAUCGUAAAACUCUGUUAUUAGGGAAGAACAAAUGUGUAAGUAACUAUGCACGUCUUGACGGUACCUAAUCAGAAAGCCACGGCUAACUACGUG